CCUACGGGAGGCAGCAGUGGGGAAUAUUGGACAAUGGGCGAAAGCCUGAUCCAGCAAUGCCGCGUGAGUGAUGAAGGCCUUCGGGUCGUAAAGCUCUUUUACCAGGGAUGAUAAUGACAGUACCUGGAGAAUAAGCUCCGGCUAACUCCGUGCCAGCAGCCGCGGUAAUACGGAGGGAGCUAGCGUUGUUCGGAAUUACUGGGCGUAAAGAGUACGUAGGCGGUUAUUCAAGUCAGAGGUGAAAGCCCGGGGCUCAACCCCGGAACUGCCUUUGAAACUAGAUAGCUAGAGUCUUGGAGAGGUUAGUGGAAUUCCGAGUGUAGAGGUGAAAUUCGUAGAUAUUCGGAAGAACACCAGUGGCGAAGGCGACUAACUGGACAAGUACUGACGCUGAGGUACGAAAGCGUGGGGAGCAAACAGGAUUAGAUACCCUGGUAGUCCACGCCGUAAACGAUGAUAACUAGUUGUUCGGUCACUUGGUGACUGAGUGACGCAGCUAACGCAUUAAGUUAUCCGCCUGGGGAGUACGGUCGCAAGAUUAAAACUCAAAGGAAUUGACGGCUGNGAGNGCGAGACGACGACGAGGAGAG
rnacentral:rRNA from 1 species